rnacentral:rRNA from 1 species
CAGUAGCCGCGGGAAUACGUAGGUGGCAAGCGUUGUCCGGAAUUAUUGGGCGUAAAGCGCGCGCAGGUGGUUUAAUAAGUCUGAUGUGAAAGCCCACGGCUCAACCGUGGAGGGUCAUUGGAAACUGUUAAACUUGAGUGCAGGAGAGAAAAGUGGAAUUCCUAGUGUAGCCGUGAAAUGCGUAGAGAUUAGGAGGAACACCAGUGGCGAAGGCGGCUUUUUGGCCUGUAACUGACACUGAGGCGCGAAAGCGUGGGGAGCAAACAGGAUUAGAUACCCGCGUAGUCCCUGUCUCUUAUAC